rnacentral:rRNA from 1 species
UAUUGAACGCUGGCGGCAGGCCUAACACAUGCAAGUCGAACGGUAGCACAGAGAGCUUGCUCUCGGGUGACGAGUGGCGGACGGGUGAGUAAUGUCUGGGAAACUGCCUGAUGGAGGGGGAUAACUACUGGAAACGGUAGCUAAUACCGCAUAAUGUCGCAAGACCAAAGAGGGGGACCUUCGGGCCUCUUGCCAUCAGAUGUGCCCAGAUGGGAUUAGCUAGUAGGUGGGGUAACGGCUCACCUAGGCGACGAUCCCUAGCUGGUCUGAGAGGAUGACCAGCCACACUGGAACUGAGACACGGUCCAGACUCCUACGGGAGGCAGCAGUGGGGAAUAUUGCACAAUGGGCGCAAGCCUGAUGCAGCCAUGCCGCGUGUAUGAAGAAGGCCUUCGGGUUGUAAAGUACUUUCAGCGGGGAGGAAGGUGUUGUGGUUAAUAACCGCAGCAAUUGACGUUACCCGCAGAAGAAGCACCGGCUAACUCCGUGCCAGCAGCCGCGGUAAUACGGAGGGUGCAAGCGUUAAUCGGAAUUACUGGGCGUAAAGCGCACGCAGGCGGUCUGUCAAGUCGGAUGUGAAAUCCCCGGGCUCAACCUGGGAACUGCAUUCGAAACUGGCAGGCUAGAGUCUUGUAGAGGGGGGUAGAAUUCCAGGUGUAGCGGUGAAAUGCGUAGAGAUCUGGAGGAAUACCGGUGGCGAAGGCGGCCCCCUGGACAAAGACUGACGCUCAGGUGCGAAAGCGUGGGGAGCAAACAGGAUUAGAUACCCUGGUAGUCCACGCCGUAAACGAUGUCGACUUGGAGGUUGUGCCCUUGAGGCGUGGCUUCCGGAGCUAACGCGUUAAGUCGACCGCCUGGGGAGUACGGCCGCAAGGUUAAAGCUCAAAUGAAUUGACGGGGGCCCGCACAAGCGGUGGAGCAUGUGGUUUAAUUCGAUGCAACGCGAAGAACCUUACCUACUCUUGACAUCCAGAGAACUUUCCAGAGAUGGAUUGGUGCCUUCGGGAACUCUGAGACAGGUGCUGCAUGGCUGUCGUCAGCUCGUGUUGUGAAAUGUUGGGUUAAGUCCCGCAACGAGCGCAACCCUUAUCCUUUGUUGCCAGCGGUCCGGCCGGGAACUCAAAGGAGACUGCCAGUGAUAAACUGGAGGAAGGUGGGGAUGACGUCAAGUCAUCAUGGCCCUUACGAGUAGGGCUACACACGUGCUACAAUGGCGCAUACAAAGAGAAGCGAACUCGCGAGAGCAAGCGGACCUCAUAAAGUGCGUCGUAGUCCGGAUUGGAGUCUGCAACUCGACUCCAUGAAGUCGGAAUCGCUAGUAAUCGUAGAUCAGAAUGCUACGGUGAAUACGUUCCCGGGCCUUGUACACACCGCCCGUCACACCAUGGGAGUGGGUUGCAAAAGAAGUAGGUAGCUUAACCUUCGGGAGGGCGCUUACCACUUUGUGAUUCAUGACUGGGGUGAAGUCGUAACAAGGUAACCGUAGGGGAA